GUAAAUUCUAUAUCUGUUUUUAUUAAGCGAGUGAGUAGAAUAAAUAUAUAUGUAUAUGUUUUCGUGUAUCAAUCAGAUGAUAAGAACGACGCGAGAAAGUCAAAAUCACGUUUCCAAAAAUUCAUCAAUUGCAUCCGACGGUUUUGGAACUGCUGCUGCUAAGUAUGUUUUUUUAUGAGUUCAUCUAUUUUAUGGGAUUGUGUUAACAGAGGACCUGAGAAUUCAAUGUGCGAUUCUGGAUCAUCGUUGUCCUGUUCAUUUAUGAGAGAACAACAUCAACAGUCAGUUCCGAAAAGAAAUUUUUGUAGUUUGUAAGUAAAUGGGGAAUCCUUACGAGAU